CAGGCUAAUCCGCCCUGGGUAAGUCGGGACCUAAGGCGAGGCCGACAGGCGUAGUCGAUGGACAACGGGUUGAUAUUCCCGUACUGACGAAAAACCGCCCAGAUCAAUCCAGUAAUGCUAAGUGUCUGAAUCCCUUUGACCGAUCCCUUCGGGGUGAGGCGUUGGGCCUAGCACACGACCCUAUGCUGGUGCGGUUAGCGUAUUAACAGGUGUGACGCAGGAAGGUAGCUGAGCCGGGCGAUGGUUGUCCCGGUCUAAGGAUGUAGGGCGAACGAUAGGCAAAUCCGUCGUUCACAUAGCCUGAGACCCGAUGGGUAGCUCUCACGAGCGAAAUCAGUGAUCCUAUGCUGCCAAGAAAAGCAUCGACGCGAGGUUUUAGUCACCCGUACCCCAAACCGACUCAGGUGUUCAGGUAGAGAAUACCAAGGAGAUCGAGAGAAUCGUGGUUAAGGAACUCGGCAAAAUGCCCCCGUAACUUCGGGAGAAGGGGGGCCCGCGGUGUGAAGGGACUUGCUCCUGGAGCACCAUACGGCCGCAGAGACCAGUGGGAAGCGACUGUUUACUAAAAACACAGGUCCGCGCCAAGUCGCAAGACGAUGUAUACGGACUGACGCCUCCCCGGUGCUGGAAGGUUAAGAGGAACGGUUAGCCGCAAGGCGAAGCUGAGAAUUUAAGCCCCAGUAAACGGCGGCGGUAACUAUAACCAUCCUAAGGUAGCGAAAUUCCUUGUCGGGUAAGUUCCGACCUGCACGAAUGGCGUAACGACUUCCCAGCUGUCUCAACCGCGAACUCGGCGAAAUUGCACUACGAGUAAAGAUGCUCGUUACGCGCAGAAGGACGGAAAGACCCCGUGACCUUUACUACAGCUUGGUAUUGGUGUUCGGUGUGGCUUGUGUAGGAUAGGUGGGAGACUGUGAAGCUUGGACGCUAGUUCAGGUGGAGUCAUUGUUGAAAUACCACUCUGGUCACUCUGGAUAUCUAACUUCGAACCGUGAUCCGGUUCAGGGACAGUGCCUGGUGGGUAGUUUAACUGGGGCGGUUGCCUCCUAAAAAGUAACGGAGGCGCCCAAAGGUUCCCUCAACCUGGUUGGCAAUCAGGUGGCGAGUGUAAGUGCACAAGGGAGCUUGACUGUGAGACUGACAAGUCGAGCAGGGACGAAAGUCGGGACUAGUGAUCCGGCAGUGGCUUGUGGAAGCGCUGUCGCUCAACGGAUAAAAGGUACCUCGGGGAUAACAGGCUGAUCUUGCCCAAGAGUCCAUAUCGACGGCAUGGUUUGGCACCUCGAUGUCGGCUCGUCGCAUCCUGGGGCUGGAGUAGGUCCCAAGGGUUGGGCUGUUCGCCCAUUAAAGCGGUACGCGAGCUGGGUUUAGAACGUCGUGAGACAGUUCGGUCCCUAUCCUCUGCGCGCGCAGGAAAUUUGAGAAGAUCUAUCCCUAGUACGAGAGGACCGGGAUGGACGAACCUCUGGUGUGUCAGUUGUUCCGCCAGGAGCACCGCUGAUUAGCUACGUUCGGAACGGAUAACCGCUGAAAGCAUCUAAGCGGGAAGCCGGCUUCAAGAUGAGAUUUCCAUGCCUUCGGGCGAGAGGCUCCCAGCUAGACUACUGGGUUGAUAGGCAGGAUGUGGAAGUGCGGACUAAAGACGCAUGGAGCUGACCUGUACUAAUAAGCCGAUAACUUG
rnacentral:rRNA from 1 species